CCCAUGAGGUCACGAAACAGUCGAGCGGAUGACGGGAGCUUGCUCCUUGAUUAGCGGCGGACGGGUGAGUAAUGCCUAGGAAUCUGCCUGGUAGUGGGGGACAACGUUUCGAAAGGAACGCUAAUACCGCAUACGUCCUACGGGAGAAAGCAGGGGACCUUCGGGCCUUGCGCUAUCAGAUGAGCCUAGGUCGGAUUAGCUAGUUGGUGGGGUAAUGGCUCACCAAGGCGACGAUCCGUAACUGGUCUGAGAGGAUGAUCAGUCACACUGGAACUGAGACACGGUCCAGACUCCUACGGGAGGCAGCAGUGGGGAAUAUUGGACAAUGGGCGAAAGCCUGAUCCAGCCAUGCCGCGUGUGUGAAGAAGGUCUUCGGAUUGUAAAGCACUUUAAGUUGGGAGGAAGGGCAGUAAGUUAAUACCUUGCUGUUUUGACGUUACCGACAGAAUAAGCACCGGCUAACUCUGUGCCAGCAGCCGCGGUAAUACAGAGGGUGCAAGCGUUAAUCGGAAUUACUGGGCGUAAAGCGCGCGUAGGUGGUUCGUUAAGUUGGAUGUGAAAGCCCCGGGCUCAACCUGGGAACUGCAUCCAAAACUGGCGAGCUAGAGUACGGUAGAGGGUGGUGGAAUUUCCUGUGUAGCGGUGAAAUGCGUAGAUAUAGGAAGGAACACCAGUGGCGAAGGCGACCACCUGGACUGAUACUGACACUGAGGUGCGAAAGCGUGGGGAGCAAACAGGAUUAGAUACC
rnacentral:rRNA from 1 species